rnacentral:rRNA from 1 species
GAUGAACGCUGGCGGCGUGCCUAACACAUGCAAGUCGAACGAGGCCCUUUGUAUUCGUACGAAGGUGUCCUAGUGGCGAACGGGUGAGUAACACGUUGGUGACCUGCCCCGAAGCGGGGGAUAACCCUUGGAAACGAGGGCUAAUACCCCAUGUGCUCCAGAGAGUUAGAGGGCUUUGGAGUAAAGGAGUAAUCCACUUUGGGAGGGGCCUGCGGCCCAUCAGCUAGUUGGUAGGGUAAAAGCCUACCAAGGCUAUGACGGGUAGGGGACCUGAGAGGGUGGCCCCCCACACUGGCACUGAAACACGGGCCAGACACCUACGGGUGGCAGCAGUGGGGAAUAUUGCCCAAUGGACGAAAGUCUGAGGCAGCAACGCCGCGUGCGCGAUGAAGGCCUUCGGGUUGUAAAGCGCUUUUCUGGGGGAAGAG